rnacentral:rRNA from 1 species
UACGUAGGGUGCAAGCGUUAAUCGGAAUUACUGGGCGUAAAGCGUGCGCAGGCGGUGAUGUAAGACAGAUGUGAAAUCCCCGGGCUCAACCUGGGAACUGCAUUCGUGUGCUGCAUCGCUGGAGUGCGGCAGAGGGGGAUGGAAUUCCGCGUGUAGCAGUGAAAUGCGUAGAUAUGCGGAGGAACACCGAUGGCGAAGGCAAUCCCCUGGGCCUGCACUGACGCUCAUGCACGAAAGCGUGGGGAGCAAACAGGAU